CCUACGGGAGGCAGCAGUAGGGAAUUUUCGUCAAUGGGCGCAAGCCUGAACGAGCGAUGCCGCGUGAGUGAAGAAGGCCUUCGGGUCGUAAAGCUCUGUUGCGGGGGAAAAAAGGCAGCAUCAGGAAAUUGGUGCUGACUGAUGGUGCUCCGCCAGAAAGUCACGGCUAACUACGUGCCAGCAGCCGCGGUAAUACGUAGGUGGCGAGCGUUAUCCGGAAUGGUUGGGCGUAAAGGGUGCGCAGGCGGUCCUGCAAGUCUGGAGUGAAACGCAUGAGCUCAACUCAUGCAUGGCUUUGGAAACUGGAGGACUGGAGAGCAGGAGAGGGCGGUGGAACUCCAUGUGUAGCGGUAAAAUGCGUAGAUAUAUGGAAGAACACCAGUGGCGAAGGCGGCCGCCUGGCCUGUUGCUGACGCUGAGGCACGAAAGCGUGGGGAGCAAAUAGGAUUAGAUACCCGAGUAGUC
rnacentral:rRNA from 1 species